UUAAGAUCCAAGGUAGCAUAGGACAUCCAAGGCAACCAGUGUUUUAAAUAGAAUAGAAUAGAAUAGAAUAGAAUAGAAUAGAAUAGAAUAGAAUAGAAUAGAAUAGAAUAGAAAAUUAAUCAUCUCACUAAGAGAAAUUCACCCAUUCUUGAAAGUGUCUUCAGUACACUUAAAACAAGAUCAGACAGACAACAGACAUGCACACAUACAGCUGUGUAAAGGUACUCUUUGCUUAGCAUGGGUAUAGAUGGGUUACAGAGGGUAACUAGUAAAUAAUGUACACUUGUAUAGCACUUUACUUCUUUCUCAGAAGGUCUAAAGUGCAUUCUCAUUCACCCAUCGACACACACAUUUACACACUGAUGGCUCCGCUGCCGAACACUGGCACCAACCUCUAACCACCAGGAGCAAAGUGGGGUUCAGUGUCUUGCCCAGAGACACUUCGACAAAUGGGCAGGCAAGGUAAGAACUGAACCUGUGAUUUUCCCAUCAGAGGAUGACCAUUCUACCUCAUUUGUGGCCAAAAAUGUCACGUGGCCUCUGUCAGUGCUCCUCCCCCUCCCCUCUCUCUGUGCACCUGAAGAUUGGAACCAGCUGUGGACACUCUGCUCAUCACCUCACCGCCUUCUUAAGGGGAUCCAGCCCAGCAGUCAUCGCCAGUCCGUUGCCUACCUCGGUUUCCAAAUCCACGAGUGUCCACCUGGGAGAUCUUCAGCUCGCUCCACACCAGUUUCGCCUCGAAGUCACGCCACGUUCCUCGCUCACUUCGGGUCCCAAGACAUCAGGCAGCGCGCAGCGAUCCGCACCGCACGUCUCGCUCCGCUCCAGCCACGCCACGCUCUCAGCUUAGCUCUCAAGUCCCUACGAGCUACGCCGACUCCUCGCCAGAGAUCCAAGCUAGCAAGAAGUAACAACCAGAACUGUUAUCUCCUGCCUGGAUAUUAAAGACUCUUUGUUUAUCGCUA